GAGCGGAGUGUGGGGGGGGAUAUUAUGGGAUGCCUGCCCCCUGAUCUCUUUGUGUGUGUGUGCGCGCGCGGGGUGUAGUGCGAGAGAGCGAGGAGACGGCGUCGUGUGCGCACACUGCCAGAUUAACAAAAUACGCAUAUCCAUUUAAAUGAUCCGGACCCCGUCCUCUCAAGAGUAAUUGAUUGAGAGCCCAACUAAGACACGGAGUCAUUGUUUUGGAAGCGGGGGAAUCAAGUUACAGGGGACCCUGGCCCGCACGGAGCAUCACGCCGAUAAAACUACUUUAUUUAGUUAGCUAACUCUUUAGCUAACUAAAUCUAAAGUUUUGUUUUAAUAACUCUCCACCAUGUCUGGAAGCGAAGACGACAGGGAUGAUUUCGGAGCCCCCGAUGAUCGGCUACUACACGACGACGACGAGGAGCUCUCGGAGACCGAGACGCCCAAAGUGAAGAAGAAGAAGAAGGCCAAGAAGAGCCGCGAGAGCAAGAGCAGCAAGCGCCGGUCGCGCCGUGAGGUAAGGGUCUGCUGCGGUCCGGCCUCCCUCUGCACACACGCCGGUCUGUCCUCUAGUCCACACUGAACGGGUCCUGGAGGCCUGUGUCCUCUAGUCCACACAGAACGGGUCCUGGAGGCCUGGGUUCUCCAGUCCACACAGAACGCGUCCUGGAGGCCUGGGUUCUCUAGUCCACACUGAACGGGUCCUGGAGGCCUGGGUUCUCUAGUCCACACAGAACGCGUCCUGGAGGCCUGUGUUCUAAGCGGCCGCGGCUGGGCCCAGAGAUACUCCACCACCUGUUCUCUUU
ensembl:lncRNA